rnacentral:misc_RNA from 1 species
GAUGAAGAACGUAGCAAAAUGCGAUAAGUAAUGUGAAUUGCAGAAUUCAGUGAAUCAUCGAAUCUUUGAACGCACAUUGCGCCCGCCAGUAUUCUGGCGGGCAUGCCUGUUCGAGCGUCAUUUCAACCCUCAAGCACAGCUUGGUGUUGGGACUCGCGUUAAUUCGCGUUCCCCUAAUUGAUUGGCGGUCACGUCGAGCUUCCAUAGCGUAGUAGUAAAACCCUCGUUACUGGUAAUCGUCGCGGCCACGCCGUUAAACCCCAACUUCUGAAUGUUGACCUCGGAUCAGGUAGGAAUACCCGCUGAACUUAAGCAUAUCAAUAAGCGGAGGA